rnacentral:rRNA from 1 species
UACGUAGGGGGCAAGCGUUGUCCGGAUUUAUUGGGCGUAAAGAGCGCGUAGGCGGCCUGACAGGUCUGCUGUGAAAACUCGAGGCUCAACCUCGAGAUGUCGGCGGAAACCGUCUGGCUAGAGUCCGGAAGAGGAGAGUGGAAUUCCUGGUGUAGCGGUGAAAUGCGCAGAUAUCAGGAAGAACACCUAUGGCGAAGGCAGCGCUCUGGGACGGUACUGACGCUGAGACGCGAAAGCGUGGGGAGCGAACAGG